rnacentral:lncRNA from 1 species
UUUUACAAAAUUGGGCCGUCUUUUUCAAUUUUGCAGAUUCGGUUCGAAUUUUCAGCAAAUUGACCAAAAUACUCUUAUUUCGUUUUCCCUCAUUCUGUUUUUUUCCCAGUCCGAAGAAGGCAGCGGAGGAAGAGGCGGAAACUGCCCACCUGGCCUCUGCUCUUACUCCCUCGCCGUCGCCCUCGGUCGCGUACCCCCCACCCUCCUCACCUCCGACCUCGCUAAGGCCACACCGCGAUCGU